AUUGAACGCUGGCGGCAUGCCUAAUACAUGCAAGUCGAACGGGUGGCGGACUGGUGAGUAAUGUCUGGGAACCUGCCUAAUGGAGGGGUCUAACUACUGGAACCGUUAGCUAAUACCGCAUACCAUCGGAUGUGCCCAGAUGGGAUUAGCUAGUGGGUGGGGUAAAGGCUCACCUAGGCGACGAUCCCUAGCUGGUCUGAGAGGAUGACCAGCCACACUGGAACUGAGACACGGUCCAGACUCCGACGGGAGGCAGCAGUGGGGAAUAUUGCACAAUGGGCGAAAGCCUGAUAGAGCAAGGCCGCGUGUAUGAAGAAGGCCUGCGGGUUGUAAAGUACUGUCAGCGGGGAGGCGUUACCCGAAGAAGAAGCAACGGCUAACUCCGUGCCAGCCGCCGCGGUAAUUC
rnacentral:rRNA from 1 species